rnacentral:rRNA from 1 species
CUCUUCGGUUAAUACCCGGAGACGAUGACAUUAGCUGCAGAAUAAGCACCGGCUAACUCUGUGCCAGCAGCCGCGGUAAUACAGAGGGUGCAAGCGUUAAUCGGAAUUACUGGGCGUAAAGCGAGCGUAGGUGGCUUGAUAAGUCAGAUGUGAAAUCCCCGGGCUUAACCUGGGAACUGCAUCUGAAACUGUUAGGCUAGAGUAGGUGAGAGGGAAGUAGAAUUCCAGGUGUAGCGGUGAAAUGCGUAGAGAUCUGGAGGAAUACCGAUGGCGAAGGCAGCCUUCUGGCAUCAUAUUGACACUGAGGUUCGAAAGCGUGGGUAGCAAACAGGAUUAGAUACCCUGGUAGUCCACGCCGUAAACGAUGUC